rnacentral:rRNA from 1 species
CUUGCUUCUCUUGAGAGCGGCGGACGGGUGAGUAAUGCCUAGGAAUCUGCCUGGUAGUGGGGGAUAACGUUCGGAAACGGACGCUAAUACCGCAUACGUCCUACGGGAGAAAGCAGGGGACCUUCGGGCCUUGCGCUAUCAGAUGAGCCUAGGUCGGAUUAGCUAGUUGGUGGGGUAAUGGCUCACCAAGGCGACGAUCCGUAACUGGUCUGAGAGGAUGAUCAGUCACACUGGAACUGAGACACGGUCCAGACUCCUACGGGAGGCAGCAGUGGGGAAUAUUGGACAAUGGGCGAAAGCCUGAUCCAGCCAUGCCGCGUGUGUGAAGAAGGUCUUCGGAUUGUAAAGCACUUUAAGUUGGGAGGAAGGGUUGUAGAUUAAUACUCUGCAAUUUUGACGUUACCGACAGAAUAAGCACCGGCUAACUCUGUGCCAGCAGCCGCGGUAAUACAGAGGGUGCAAGCGUUAAUCGGAAUUACUGGGCGUAAAGCGCGCGUAGGUGGUUUGUUAAGUUGGAUGUGAAAUCCCCGGGCUCAACCUGGGAACUGCAUUCAAAACUGACUGACUAGAGUAUGGUAGAGGGUGGUGGAAUUUCCUGUGUAGCGGUGAAAUGCGUAGAUAUAGGAAGGAACACCAGUGGCGAAGGCGACCACCUGGACUAAUACUGACACUGAGUGCGAAAGCGUGGGGAGCAAACAGGAUUAGAUACCCUGGUAGUCCACGCCGUAAACGAUGUCAACUAGCCGUUGGAAGCCUUGAGCUUUUAGUGGCGCAGCUAACGCAUUAAGUUGACCGCCUGGGGAGUACGGCCGCAAGGUUUAAACUCAAAUGAUUGACGGGG